rfam:TPA: Bos taurus chromosome 12, whole genome shotgun sequence.
UCCCUGGUGGUCCAGUGGUUAACUCUGCACUUCCAAUGCAAAGGGUGCAGGUUCAAUCCCUGGUCAGGGAG